GUGAGGAAUAUUGCGCAAUGGAGGCAACUCUGACGCAGCCAUGCCGCGUGCAGGAAGAAGGCGCUACGCGUUGUAAACUGCUUUUAACCGGGAAGAAACCCCAGGACGUGUCCUGGGUUAACGGUACCGGAGGAAUAAGCACCGGCUAACUUCGUGCCAGCAGCCGCGGUAAUACGAAGGGUGCAAGCGUUAUCCGGAUUCAUUGGGUUUAAAGGGUGCGUAGGCGGAGCGUUAAGUCAGUGGUGAAAUCCUGCAGCUUAACUGUAGACGUGCCAUUGAUACUGGCGCUCUUGAGUGCGCUUGAAGUGGGCGGAAUGUGCCGUGUAGCGGUGAAAUGCUUAGAUAUGGCACAGAACACCAAUUGCGAAGGCAGCUCACUAAGGCGAUACUGACGCUGAGGCACGAAAGCGUGGGGAUCGAACAGGAUUAGAAACCCGAGUAGUCC
rnacentral:rRNA from 1 species